CCUGGCUCAGGACGAACGCUGGCGGCGUGCUUAACACAUGCAAGUCGAACGAUGAACUCCAGCUUGCUGGAGGGAUUAGUGGCGAACGGGUGAGUAACACGUGAGUAACCUGCCCUUGACUCUGGGAUAAGCGCUGGAAACGGCGUCUAAUACCGGAUACGACCUACCCCGGCAUCGGGUGUGGGUGGAAAGUUUUUCGGUCAAGGAUGGACUCGCGGCCUAUCAGCUUGUUGGUGAGGUAAUGGCUCACCAAGGCGACGACGGGUAGCCGGCCUGAGAGGGUGACCGGCCACACUGGGACUGAGACACGGCCCAGACUCCUACGGGAGGCAGCAGUGGGGAAUAUUGCACAAUGGGCGAAAGCCUGAUGCAGCAACGCCGCGUGAGGGAUGACGGCCUUCGGGUUGUAAACCUCUUU
rnacentral:rRNA from 1 species